CAGUGAUAUCCACCUGCAUGUUCCAGAUGAUGUAACACACCAUGGGAUGCACAACCAUCAAGGAUUGGCAGUAGAAUUUAUUGAAGAGGACAAGUACCUGAAUGCUGUGAUUGCUGAUAGUUGCAGAGAAAGAAGAGCAGAUCCAGCCGGUUGCUGCUGCUGAUGAUGAUGCUGAUGAUGAUGAAGAAGAUGGAACUGCCCACUUCCACCAGCACCAACUCCUCCCCUUCCCUGACCCAUCUGCAGAUAGAAUUGGCCCAAGGCCUGAGGAUUCAACGCCCCGAUAUGCCCCUCCUGCGAGAGGCCGAGCUCCAGCCCUGGCAGCUGCUGGCCAUGCCCGCUCAACAUCGACGCAAAGCUCACCGCUCCCGGAUUCCCGCCGGUCAAUUCGAACCCAUGCAAGCCGAUCCUCUGCAUGAAGCUGCUCACCGAGUCUCCGCCUCCGGCCGAAAGAUUCGAGCUCGAGGGAACGGCGGCGGUGGCAUGCAAGAAUCCGGAGUUGAACCCACCCACCAGGGGCGGCCACAGGCCAGGAUGGGAGCAUCCGAGGUUAGCGGCCCCCGUCACGGCCCAGCCAGGCCUGGCGGCGGCUCCCGCCUCCUGUCCCAACUCGUCGAGCUUCUGGUGGAGGCCGGCGGGGGCGGUGGCGCCCGGGAGGGACAUGGAUGCGGCGGCGGCGGCGGCAGCGAGAGCUGACGCGGGGAUGGUGCCCGUGCCGGUGGCGGCGAUGAUGGAGGGCUCCGCUUGAUGGAGGAGCCACUGGAUGGUCUCCCCAUCGGACUUGUGGCCCAAUUCUCGGGUGAGCUGAAAGAUCCUGGCGGCACAAAGGGCAGGCAUCCUUAUCCUCCUUCCCCUGCCGUCGACCUUGGUGUGCCUGUCCUUGUUGGAGCUCCUCUUGGGUGCAAGCUGCCUCCUUUGCUCAUCCUUAGCCGCUGCGGAAAGCAAAAGGUCUCUGCUUUCUGCUGCUGCUGCUGCUGCGGCCGAUGAGGAGGUGAUGGGUUCUCUUUUGUCCGACUGCGGAAGGCCCUCCUGGUGAAGCUUGGAGGAGCCCUUGGGAUCCAUGAAAGGGAGGUGGGAGAAGAAGGAAAGGUGGAAUUUUGGGGCCUUGAAUGGUGAGAUGGAGGAGAGAGAGGAGAGGUAACAAGUGAGGAACUAUGCUCCCAUGAGACCUCAGAAGGAUUCUGCCACUGACUGGCGAAUCAGUCUGCGGUUGAAACUUGAAAUAGCUUUUGGAACUGAAGAAAGGAGAGAGAAGAGAGAGAGAGAGAGAGAGAGAAAGAGCGUUGGGUCAACAGCAUAAAGAAGAAGAUGGCAGGUGAAAACCAAGAUACCUACUUCCCCAAAUGUUCUACAUGAUGCAAGGGGUGGUGAAAAUGGAGAAGAGAGCAGGUGUGGUAAAAGAAAGACCAAGAUAUCAUUGGUCUUCGUUGAUGCUGGCAAGUGAAAGAAAGGUUUUACUUCUGCUUCGGUCUUUAUGGUUUUUUUUCCUUGCAAAGUUUCCCCCUCCUGUGCAGGUCUAUGUUCCUUGCCAUGCUGGGUCUUGCGGGAGCUGUCAAGGCUACCCUGUGACUGCCCCUGAGAAGAGACCAUUGUCAAAUCACCUUCCCUACACUAUAUGGAUUGGAUUCCCAUCUCAUCAUUGCUGCUCCCAUGGUUACCUCCGUUCACCAAUUGUGGGUUAUGAUUGCUUUCAGCAUUCCAGCUGCAUCACUUGCAAGGGACUCCAUUUCAAAGAUUGCGCUCGAGUGACCUCAUGGCACUACACAAGUGGCUGCUAGGAUAAGUUGGUCCCCAUUGACAGGGCCAUUCUUCCACUUACUUAUAUGCUGACUGACACUGUGUGUGAAAUGAGAGCACACAGAGAGAGAGAGAGAGAGAGCAGAAUUGGAACUGACAGGGGGAAAGGGGGAACUGAAGCCAACAACCAACAUGACAGAAAUGUUGCAAUAGUUCAGCGUUGUUGCUCCUGCCUCAAGUGGCACUGUUGUUGGAAGGUUUCUGACAGUUCUCGGCCUGCUGAGCUGCUGUGGUUGCUUUUUUCCUGGCCAUUACAUGCGAGCCUUUGGAGACUCCACUAGAGUUGGUGGAGGGUGGUGGAUUUAGGCUACAGUUUUGUGUUGCAGCAGGUGGUGCAUCAAUGAAUGGGUGCUUCCUUUUUCUUGUUUACAUGACUCCAUGGCUCUCAGUUAUUGUCAGAAGCCAAUUCAAGAAAAUGACACAAAAUACUCUCUCAUCCACUCGUGAGGAAGGUGACCUUUGUUAGAUGUGGACUUGGAUCAUGAUUUUUCUUUUGAGUUUGGAUAUAGAAAAAGGCCAUCCACAUUAAAGAUGUGGAUUCCUUUAACUUAGUAUUAUUCCUUUUUAACUUGUUAUCAAUGUCAUUGUCUUCAUAAA